rnacentral:rRNA from 1 species
UAAUACGAAGGGUCCGAGCGUUAUUCGGAAUCACUGGGCUUAAAGCGUGCGUAGGCGGACUGUAGGCGUUUUGUGAAAUCCCUCGGCUCAACCGAGGAACUGCAGAGCGAACCCCAAGCCUUGAGACAGAUAGAGGUUGUCGGAACGAUUGGUGGAGUGGUGAAAUGCGUUGAUAUCAAUCGGAACGCCAAAUGAGAAGUCAGGCAACUGGAUCUGUUCUGACGCUGAGGCACGAAAGCGUGGGUAGCGAACGGGAUUAGAUACCCCGGUAGUCCACGCCGUAAACAAUGUGCACUAGGUCGAGGGCGUUCUGACGCGACUCUCGGCCGAAGCGAAAGUGUUAAGUGCACCGCCUGGGGAGUACGGUCGCAAGGCUA